rnacentral:snoRNA from 1 species
AUGUUCAAGUUCCCUUUCCCAUCAGAUCUCAACACUGGUCUGAGUCUCUGCAAAAGAAGCAAAAGUAAUGUUGGAAUGAAGUUCAAUGCUUUUGUAGUACAUGGGCUAGUGUCAAAGAAGC